GGAAAAGUUGAAACCUAUCUUUCACUGUCUGUCUAUGGUUGAAACCAGAGCCAUAGAGAGAAAGAGUUGCGACACUCCCAUUGGACUCCGUUGUACGCUUUUUGCCGCCUACUUCCGCGGUAUGCAGCCUCGCGUAGUUCCAAAAAGCCAUUCUAUGGCGUUGGACAUCAUUCACUUCCAUUGCUGACUGUCGAGUAACUUCUGAGACGACCGAUUGCCUGCUAGUUUGUUAGCUUGACUUGCCUUCUGUGAAGGUUGUAUCUGCUGAACCUGGCGGUGUUAGCUAGUCAGCUGAGUACUGUGUAUCUGAUGCUAGUAGAAAUAAGGUUUGUUUAAUUACACCCUUGAAAGGGCUGUUGGAUUGCAUGUAGGAAUACAAAUUAUUUUACACAAAAAAUUAUCAUAAGCCAUAAUGAGCUUUAAAAUGUUUAUUACUCAGACAGUAGUGUGACUAAUUUGUUUCCCAAACACUGCUGCUGCAGGCGGCUGCUGCUGGAGGCGAUGACUGCUUGAGCUGGCUGGUGUUGGUGAAGGAUGGUGAUGGCGGCUGCUGCUGGUAAUGGUGGCGGCUUCAGGUAAUGG